CGCCCCCUGCUGGGCUCGGCCCGCUGUCGCCCUCUCGUCCGGUCCCGUCCUCCGUGCCCGGCCUGUCGUCCCCUGCUCCUUCGCCGGCUCCGCGGCUCUCGCUUCCUCCCCCCUCCAGUCGCUUGGAUCUCGUUUCUGGGCUCUCGACUCCGAUGAGGAUGUUUCCUCGGAUGAGGCGGCUGGGCCCUCGCCGGUCUUCCCCCUGCUGGCUUCCGCUCCCCUUGGCGCGCCUCGCUCCCGCAAGUUUGAUCCUGGGGGCUGGGGUCGGCCGGUGGUGUCUCCGGUGGCGAACGCUGGCUGGGUCUGUGUCUCUCGUCAUCAUCGCAAGUCUGUAGUGGAGAUUAUUGACUAAGCCGGAGGACCAGGAUGCACUUGAUCUUCUCAUUUCUAAAGUUCGGGCCUCGACGUCGUCUCUCUGGGCAGGAUCUUGGUGUCUAGACCUACGCGUUUUGGAGUUUCUUCGACUUAGUUGCUGGCUUCGUCUUUCGUACUUUCUCCGGCCUGCGUGUCGUGUUUGGCAGGGUGCCAUGUAUCCGUCGUACUUUCCAGCUCGUCUAUGCGUGCCCGCGUUUGGGUGAACUUGUUGUUGUUUCAUCCUUGUUGAUGUUGCUGUUGCUCUGUGACUCUGCCUUGUAGCUUUAUUUAUAAAGUCGGGCGUAGGCCUUUUCUGUAAAAA